GCCCGCGGUGCAUUAGCUAGUUGGUGAGGUAACAGCUCACCAAGGCCACGAUGCAUAGCCGACCUGAGAGGGUGAUCGGCCACAUUGGAACUGAGACACGGCCCAGACUCCUACGGGAGGCAGCAGUGGGGAAUAUUGCGCAAUGGGGGAAACCCUGACGCAGCAACGCCGCGUGGGUGAUGAAGGUCUUCGGAUUGUAAAGCCCUGUUUUCUGGGACGAUAAUGACGGUACCGUAAGAGAAAGCCACGGCUAACUAC
rnacentral:rRNA from 1 species